CCUCGAUCCCAGGCCGAGUUUUCGCUUUUAUAACGGUUAGGCGAACAACUGGGCCUGGUACUAGUUGUCUGCGCAUGCGUCAAUCGUUCGUCAGAUUCUGACGAAUGGAUAUUCUCGUUCACUUUCGUGACAUUUAUAUUCGUGUACUAUCGUGUACUAGAAGUCAGUUCCCGUUUUAUCAUUAUUGGAAUCGAUUGGAAUGGCUCUUAGCUGAAGCUUCUCUCUUCUCUGAAGCUUAUUCUGAAGACUGAACAACAAGGGAAGAGGUAUAAAGCUUUGUCAAGCUUGUUAAGGUCAGAUAUUUUUGUGUGGGCCCUAUGGCUAUGCUAUCAAGUUUUGUUCAUGUUUGGCAAGAUCUACCGGUAGGUAGACUAUAGUUUCAUCAUUAAUAUGGUGGAUCAAGUGAAGAGUGUGAGCUAGAGAACUUGGUGCUGCCAUCAUCAACUCGUCGACAAUGACACUAUAACCGAGAAAUUUAAUAUGUAUAGAUCUACACGUAUUUAAAAUGUCUACUUCUCUGUACAGGAGCAAUGGCUAAUAUCCAGCUAUCCCAACAGUGCUCCUCUUGGCUAUACUAACGGACGAGACUGGACAGUUUGAGACACAGGACUGGAGUAUGACCUGCUGAUUCGAGCGUUGCUGGGUAGCUCAGAGACAUCAAGAGAAUCUACGUUUUCUCAAGCAAUGAGUUACGAGUUGGGGCCUAGAAUCAGAGAAGUCCAGCAGUCUGCUAAAUCUUUUUGAAACGUAAUUUGAAGGCAUUCAAUCAUCCUGAAGUUGCCCUGGGUCACUGUAAUUGUGCUGCAGCACAACUGGCAACUCCCCAGGCCUUUGUGAAGCAGCUCCCUAUGUGCAUCUUUUGUGUACUCACUCUGUGCAUUUUCUGUGUACAAAUUUCUAUUAUUGAUUUAUUAAAUA